AAUCAACGCUGGCGGCGUGCCUAACACAUGCAAGUCGAACGCGAAAGCCCGUUCGGGGUAAGUAGAGUGGCGUCCGGGUGAGUAACACGUAGGUAAUCUGCCUUCGGGUGGGGAAUAACCAGUCGAAAGAUUGGCUAAUACCGCAUAAUGCAGCGGCACCUAAUGGUGAUUAGUUGUUAAAGCGGGGGAGUCGUAAGACCUCGCGCCUGAAGAGGAGCCUGCGGCAGAUUGGCUAGGGUUGAGGUAAUGGCUCACCAAGGCUUCGAUCUGUAGCUGGUCUGAGAGGACGGCCAGCCACACUGGCACUGACACACGGGCCAGACUCCUACGGGAGGCAGCAGUGGGGAAUUUUGGCAAUGGGCGAAAGCCUGACCCAGCAACGCCGCGUGAGGGAGGAAAUCCUUCGGGAUGU
rnacentral:rRNA from 1 species